GAUCUGGUCUGAUCUCGGAAGCUAAAAUUGGAACGAUACAGAGAAGAUUAGCAUGGCCUCUGCACAAGGAUGCAUGCAAAUUCGUGAAGCAUUCCAUAUUAAA